rnacentral:sRNA from 1 species
UAGUAAAACAAGGUGGCUCGCAUUAAUGC